GUUAUCAUGUCUUUAAGGGUAUUAUUUACUAAAAGCAGAAAGGGUGUAAUUAUUGAUUUUUUUUUUAAAGACACACUUAGAAUUUGAUGAAUGUAGAAUGAAAGCAAUGAAAGCAGAAUUAAAGUCAGUUAAUGCAGACAGUCACUCCAUUUGUGGAAACUUAUUACAGACAAUACACACAGGAUAGUAAAUAAAUUUGAAUGAAAAUGAGACAUUCAAGACAUUGUUCAGAAGAACAGCGU